rnacentral:rRNA from 1 species
CUACGGGUCGCUGCAGUGGGGAAUAUUGGGCAAUGGGCGAAAGCCUGACCCAGCAACGCCGCGUGAAGGAAGAAGGUUUUCGGAUCGUAAACUUCUAUCCCAGGUGAAGAUAAUGACGGUAGCCUGGAAGGAAGCCCCGGCUAACUACGUGCCAGCAGCCGCGGUAAUACGUAGGGGGCAAGCGUUGUCCGGAAUGAUUGGGCGUAAAGGGCGCGUAGGCGGCCUUCUAAGUCCGAUGUGAAAGUCCUGCUUUUAAGGUGGGAAUUGCAUUGGAAACUGGAGGGCUUGAGUGCAGGAGGGGUAAGUGGAAUUCCCGGUGUAGCGGUGAAAUGCGUAGAGAUCGGGAGGAACACCAGUGGCGAAGGCGACUUACUGGACUGUAACUGACGCUGAGGCACGAAAGUGUGGGGAGCAAACAGGAUUAGAUACCCGCGUAGUC